rnacentral:sRNA from 1 species
GAAAAGACUCAUUUGGUUCCCGGAUUUCCUCACUGUAUAAAAUUUGCUGCUCUGGAUAUGAACAAAGCAACUACAAAGGACACUGAGAGAAUUCAGCAAGAUACAUCACAACCAAUGCAAAAACGUCCUCAGUGAACAGAAACAGAUUAUUCAAUGUAUAGGAGGGUAAGAAACAAGGGGCUGCAUGGAGGAAAGCAAGAGAGAAAAAGGGGAAAAAAGAAGGAAGAAAAGAAAGAUCGGAAAGGUAGGUGGCAUGAAGAUGACCCCUGUUUAAUUCACUGGAAAAACCUAUGUUAGAUAUGCAACUGGACAAUUAAUCUUUGCUAUCAAAGCAGUCAGGUGAAAUAUGAGAAUAUUCACCACUGUAAACUGACAUGUGUGGUUAUGCUACACAGACUAUAUCAAGGCCAAUGUUUUAGGUCAGAGGUCAUGGGUGGCACAAUAAGGUCAGUAGAAUAUAAA